rnacentral:rRNA from 1 species
UACGUAGGGGGCUAGCGUUGUCCGGAAUCAUUGGGCGUAAAGCGCGCGUAGGCGGUUCGGUAAGUCCGCUGUGAAAGUCGAGGGCUCAACCCUCGAAUGCCGGUGGAUACUGUCGGGCUUGAGUACGGGAGAGGCGAGUGGAAUUCCUGGUGUAGCGGUGAAAUGCGCAGAUAUCAGGAGGAACACCGGUUGCGAAGGCAGCUCGCUGGAACGUUACUGACGCUGAGGCGCGAAAGCGUGGGGAGCAAACAGG